UAAAAGGGUGCUUGCCUUUCUACGCUUUUGUAUGGCACAUCUGUGCGGCGCCUGGUCUGGUUGAGUCCAGCCGGGCAAUCCGUACCGGUGGGGUAUGGCUAUCAAGACAUAUCCAGCACGUAAUUUUUGUCCCCGGAAGGCUGUUGACUCGCAUCUUUGCGUCGACGCCUUC
rnacentral:snRNA from 1 species